rnacentral:lncRNA from 1 species
UGGCCACGAGGUAAGUUAAGUCUAGCAAAAAUUGUUCCUAUUAGGAAUCAAACUUGUGUUUUUCCCGAACGAUUCGUCGUAGGGGGCACAUUAACCACUUGAGCCCGAUCACUGGUUAGUAUAUGUAUUUUUGGAAUCAUGGUGAGUUUGAGGAAAUCACGGUGGGACACCAUUAUUCUACCAAACUGACUGUCAAUCCAAGUUUCGUGGUCUAUAAAACUUCGAACAUUUCAAGUUCAGUCCCUUUAUAACCAUUCUUAAUCUUGUCUUUCAUAAAAAUAAAAACAAGGUGGUUUUAGUCCUUCUGCAAGGAUCAGGACUAAAAACACCUUAUUUUUAUAAAAUGUAGGACUAAACAUGGAUAAAAUUGUUAUAAAGACUACAAACAUAAUGAACCCUGAUAACACCUUGUUUAUAAAAUGUAGGACUAAACAUGUAUAAAAUUGUUAUAGGGACUACAAACAUAAUUUACCCUA